ACCUGUUUAUCCUGCAGGAGGUUGCUGCUAUCGGAAUUCGGUUAAGCCAUGCAAGUCAGCUUGCCAUCGCAAGAUGGUUGGCGGCAAACUGCUGAGUAGCACGUCGACAAUCUCCCAUGAGGUCUGCGAUAACCUUGCGAAAGUGAGGGUAAAAGCAGGCAGGGAACGGCCACUGGAAAGUUCCAUUCCUUAAAAGCAAUGCCUCAUGAUGAGUCGGCGGCCUAUCAGGUAGUUGGUGAGGUAACGGCUCACCAAGCCAAAGACGGGUAGGGGCCUUGAGAGAGGUUGCCCCCAGAAGGACACUGAGAUACUGGUCCCAGCCCCACGGGGUGCAGCAGGGACGAAAACUUUACAAUGCGCGCAAGCGUGAUAAGGGAAUUCCGAGUGUGCGUACAUUAUAUGUGCGCACUUUUCUCAAGAGUAAAUAUCUUGAGGAAUAAGUGGUGGGCAAGACUGGUGCCAGCCGCCGCGGUAACCCCAGCGCCACAAGUGGGAACCACUCUUAUUGGGUCUAAAGCAUCCGUAGCCGGUCUUGUAAAUUUCCUGUGAAAUCGUUCUGCUCAACAGGACGGCGUGCAGGAAACACUGCAAGACUAGGGACCAGGGGGAGUAGACAGUAUUCCCGGGGGAGCGGUAAAAUGUUAUAAUCCCGGGAGGACUACCGAUGGCGAAGGCAGCCUACUAACAUGGAUCCGACGGUGAGGGAUGAAAGCUAGGGGAGCGAUCCGGAUUAGAUACCCGAGUAGUCCUAGCUGUAAACGCUGCAUGCCAGAUGUUGCACAAUCUUCGGGAUUGUGCAGUGUCGCAACGAAGGCGUUAAGCAUGCCACCUGGGAAUUACGGUCGCAAGACUGAAACUUAAAGGAAUUGGCGGGGGAGCACACAAGGGGUGCGGCGUGCGGUUUAAUCGAAUUCAACGCCCAAAACCUCACCAGGGGCGACGGCAGAAUGAAGGUCAGUCUGAAGGGCUUACCUGACGAGCCGAGAGGUGGUGCAUGGCCGGCGUCAGCUCGUGCCGUGAGGUGUCCUGUCAAGUCAGGCAACGAGCGAGACCUGUAUCCAUACUUGCUAACGUGUCCGCAAGGAUGAGCGAGCACAGUAUGGAGACUGCCCGGGAAACCGGGAGGAAGGCGCAGGCCACGCUAGGUCUGUAUGCCCCGAAUCUCCUGGGCUACACGCGCGCAACAAUGGUAGGGACAAUGGGAUGCAACUCCGAAAGGAGAAGCUAAACCUCGAAACCCUAUCCAAGUGCAGAUUGAGGGUUGCAACUCACCCUCAUGAAGUCGGAAUCCCUAGUAAUCGGAGUUUAGCAUACUCCGGUGAAUAUGUCCCUGCUCCUUGCACACACCGCCCGUCAAACCAACCGAGCAGGUUUCACGUGAGCCUCGACACUUAAUCGAGUCGAACGCGAGAUCAGUAAGGUGGGUUAAGUCGUCACAAGGUA
rnacentral:rRNA from 1 species